rnacentral:rRNA from 1 species
UGGGGAAUAUUGCACAAUGGGCGCAAGCCUGAUGCAGCCAUGCCGCGUGUAUGAAGAAGGCCUUCGGGUUGUAAAGUACUUUCAGUCGGGAGGAAGGUGGUAAGGUUAAUAACCUUAUCAAUUGACGUUACCGACAGAAGAAGCACCGGCUAACUCCGUGCCAGCAGCCGCGGUAAUACGGAGGGUGCAAGCGUUAAUCGGAAUUACUGGGCGUAAAGCGCACGCAGGCGGUUGAUUGAGUCAGAUGUGAAAUCCCCGGGCUUAACCCGGGAAUUGCAUCUGAAACUGGUCAGCUAGAGUCUUGUAGAGGGGGGUAGAAUUCCAUGUGUAGCGGUGAAAUGCGUAGAGAUGUGGAGGAAUACCGGUGGCGAAGGCGGCCCCCUGGACAAAGACGGACGCUCAGGUGCGAAAGCGUGGGGAGCAAACAGG